rnacentral:rRNA from 1 species
UACGGGGGGAGCAAGCGUUGUUCGGAUUUACUGGGCGUAAAGGGCGCGUAGGCGGCCACCGCAAGUCGACUGUGAAAUCUCCGGGCUUAACCCGGAAAGGUCAGCCGAUACUGCGGGGCUAGAGUGCAGAAGGGGCAAUCGGAAUUCUCGGUGUAGCGGUGAAAUGCGUGGAUAUCGAGAGGAACACCUGAGGUGAAGACGGGUUGCUGGGCCGACACUGACGCUGAAGCGCGAAAGCCAGGGGAGCAAACGGG